GUCUAGCUGGCUCAGUGGUUAGAGCAUGUGACUCUUGAUCUUGGGGCUGUGAGUUCGAGCCCCAUGUUGGGUA
rfam:Felis catus isolate Cinnamon breed Abyssinian chromosome B4, whole genome shotgun sequence.